rnacentral:rRNA from 1 species
CGCGUAGGCGGCUAUUUAAGUCUGGAGUGAAAGUCCUGCUUUUAAGGUGGGAAUUGCUUUGGAAACUGGAUGGCUUGAGUGCAGGAGAGGUUAUCGGAAUUCCCGGUGUAGCGGUGAAAUGCGUAGAGGUCGGGAGGAACACCAGUGGCGAAGGCGGGUAACUGGACUGCAACUGACGCUGAUGCGCGAAAGUGUGGGGAGCAAACA